UGACUGAGCGGCGGACGGGUGAGUAACGCGUGGGUAACCUGCCUCAUACAGGGGGAUAACAGUUAGAAAUGACUGCUAAUACCGCAUAAGACCACAGCACCGCAUGGUGCAGAGGUAAAAACUCCGGUGGUAUGAGAUGGACCCGCGUCUGAUUAGCUGGUUGGUGGGGUAACGGCCUACCAAGGCGACGAUCAGUAGCCGGCCUGAGAGGGCGACCGGCCACAUUGGGACUGAGACACGGCCCAAACUCCUACGGGAGGCAGCAGUGGGGAAUAUUGCACAAUGGGGGAAACCCUGAUGCAGCGACGCCGCGUGAAGGAAGAAGUAUUUCGGUAUGUAAACUUCUAUCAGCAGGGAAGAAAAUGACGGUACCUGACUAAGAAGCCCCGGCUAACUACGUGCCAGCAGCCGCGGUAAUACGUAGGGGGCAAGCGUUAUCCGGAUUUACUGGGUGUAAAGGGAGCGUAGACGGAGAGGCAAGUCUGAUGUGAAAACCCGGGGCUCAACCCCGGGACUGCAUUGGAAACUGUUUUUCUAGAGUGUCGGAGAGGUAAGCGGAAUUCCUAGUGUAGCGGUGAAAUGCGUAGAUAUUAGGAGGAACACCAGUGGCGAAGGCGGCUUACUGGACGAUGACUGACGUUGAGGCUCGAAAGCGUGGGGAGCAAACAGG
rnacentral:rRNA from 1 species